UUGCUUUCAGAAUCACCUUCUCCUUCCUAGGAAUGCAACGACGCCGAGCCAAAUCUCCCCAUCGUGUAGCAGCCGCCUCCUGGACCAACCCUCUCGACUUUCUCCAGCUUGCCGACGGUGGAGGCGGGCCAGAUCCGGUGCCUAGCUGGGCCAUUGCGCCCAGUGGAGAUCCAGAUCCAGCUCCUGACCAUCUUGUCACCGGCGGCCUGAUUGCCCCGGCGGACCUCCCCUGUUCUGAGCUGCGACCUUGUGCGGACAAGUUCUCCAAGGUACUCUCCUCCGACGUCCACAGAACAACCUUGCCCCAUCCUUUGUCCUACCCCAACCAGCCCAUUCCACAUGUCGCCCGCACCCCUGCGCAUCUAGCUCCGCCACCUGGGAACGGCGGAGAAUAAAACUCCAAUCUUCAGGUCUGAUCUCUCCCAGCACAAGAAGCUCGAUGAACAAUAAGCACUAGUAACAGAGGCAAAGGCUAUAGCUUUUCUAUUUGGCCAAAAAAAAGGCUAUAACUUUUCUGUUGUGUACCAUCAAGUACCAAAAGUUGAUGCAGUUUCUAGUGGCGAUGCUUGUUGAACGGUCAUUAUUCCACUCCAUCAUAUUUAGUCUUGCCUGUGAUGUACCAAAAAUGAUCCUUUCAUGCUAUGUAACACUUGAUAUUUUGACCUGGGAUCAUGCAAUUUGAAAUGUAUGUAUAGUUACGAUUUGAA